UGUGUAGGCGGUUGUUUAAGUUUGGUGUGAAAUCUCCCGGCUCAACUGGGAGGGUGCGCCGAAUACUGAAUGACUUCGAGUGCGGGAGAGGAAAGUGGAAUUCCUGGUGUAGCGGUGAAAUGCGUAGAUAUCAGGAGGAACACCGGUGGUGUAGACGGCUUUCUGGACCGUAACUGACGCUGAUACACGAAAGCGUGGGUAGCAAACAGGAUUAGAUACCCUGGUAGUCCACGCCCUAAACGAUGCAUAUUUGGUGUGGGCAGUUCAUUCUGUCCGUGCCGGAGCUAACGCGUUAAAUAUGCCGCCUGGGGAGUACAGUCGCAAGGCUGAA
rnacentral:rRNA from 1 species